AGAGACAGCAGUCGCCGCGGGAAUACGGAGGGUGCAAGCGUUAAUCGGAAUUACUGGGCGUAAAGCGCACGCAGGCGGUUUGUUAAGUCAGAUGUGAAAUCCCCGAGCUUAACUUGGGAACUGCAUUUGAAACUGGCAAGCUAGAGUCUUGUAGAGGGGGGUAGAAUUCCAGGUGUAGCGGUGAAAUGCGUAGAGAUCUGGAGGAAUACCGGUGGCGAAGGCGGCCCCCUGGACAAAGACUGACGCUCAGGUGCGAAAGCGUGGGGAGCAAACAGGAUUAGAUACCCGUGUAGUCCCUGUCUCUUAUAA
rnacentral:rRNA from 1 species